UCCCUGGUGGUCUAGUGGUUAGGACUCUGCACUCUCACUGCCGUGGUCUGGGUUCAAUCCCUGGCCCGGGAA